CAAGGUUCUGUUUCUAUUUGAGUUUGACAAUACUGGACUAGAGUAUAGAUGUAUAGCUUCCCCUGCUAAGUGCAUCCUUCAUUAUUCCCAGGGACAGGCUUGUUGAUGAUGGACAGUGGUCCUUAAGGGAUAAUUUUACCCUGUGGAAUAGGGCUGUAAGAAGCCAAGAUUUAUUAACUUUCCUACUUGGGGGAAGGGAAGAAAAGUUGGGAGAGGAAUUUGAAUAUGCAAGCCUUCAUGUGCAGGUGGUCUGCAGUGGGGGGAAGGGGAAAGGAUGGGGGAGAUCUCAGAAGAGGAAAGGCAGGUCAAGCAUGGAACAUCCUUCUCCAUUCUUCUCCCUCCAGGAGCCCAGGACGCAUCCUAGAUCCUGGGGGAUUCUGGGCUUUUUCAAAGAGAAGCAAGAUGGAUGGCUUUUGUGCAUGUUCCUAGGUCCUGAGACAGGAGGGAGGAGACUGCUCUGGGGAUGAGCAAAGAGGCAGAGGAAUAGCUCUCUAGGGAUCUGUCAUUCUAAUGAAUGUGUAGAGCCUCCAAGACUGGGAAGUGAAGUUGCCUCUUCUUCAUUCCUACAACAGUUCCUGAUCACAAGUCACAAACUCUCAUUACUCCACAUCACUGGAGCCAUCUGGGUUUGGAGGACCUGGGGCAGAACCAGACAGAAAAAUUCCCUCCUCUCCAGCCUAUGUUACAACAGCUGGGCUGAGAAGAGACAUUGCAAAUAAGUCAUAAUAAAUAAUCAGCACUAAGUCAUCUAACACCUUUCUUUUUCAGGAUUCUGGGGACUUUUUGCCCAUAUCUCCUCAGGAUGACAAUACCCCUCUGAGUUAGAGAGGUUCUGGGAACAUUCUCCCCAACUUAUGAAAAGAAACAAGAUCCACGUUCCCAUGGUGAUUGGCUAACCAGAAAGUAGUUUUGUAACUCUUUGGGCCAAGGAAAGCUAGAAGGAAUAUCAAUGCCUUCCUGAUGACUUAUUGAGGACCACCACCUUCUCCCCUUCUCUCCUUGAGGGCAGAAUGCCCGACACAAAGAAGCGGCAAUAAACACUUGUUGAGCUGCAUUAGCUGGUGUCUGGAGCCCCGCGGGAAGAAUAAGGAAGCAAUGGGAAGUUGUCCCU